rnacentral:lncRNA from 1 species
AGUGCUGGCCACAAAGAAGAAGAAACAUUCCCAGGAGCGUUCCCAAGGUGAAGGAGACCAGAGCCCUUGUUUCCUGGCACCCUGACCUUAUUUUUAUACAGAAUGCCCACCUGCUGCUUAAAAACAUCUUGUUUCACAUCUCUCACAGGGUCAGAAGAGAAAUCCCAAGGGCCAUCAGAAUGAAAGAGCAUUGAUCAGUCUCAUGAGAUGCAGGGCCUGGCCUGGGAGUUCCCGAGGAGGCCCUCCCAGGCUGACCUACAAGAAGAGAUGCUCAGCAGCCCGGAUGCCAGAAUGGGGCCUGCAGCCACAGGAACCUGCACACUGGGCUGGUUGACGCCUGCCCUGUCAAGUCUCCAUGAUGCUGGGUCCCGAGGGAGGCGAAGGAUUCGUGGUCAAGCUCUGUGGCUUGCCCUGGCCUUGCUCUAUUGAGGAUGUGCAGAAUUUCCUCUCCAACUGCAAAAUUCAAGAUGGAGCGUCAGGCUUUCAUUUCAUCUGCACCAGGGAAGGCAGACGGAGUGGUGAGGCUUUUGUUGAACUCACAUUAGAAGAUUAUACCAAGUGGCCCUGAAAAAAGGACAGAGAAACCAGAGGACACAGAUGUACUGACAUAUUCAAGUCUUAAACAGAACCAAAAUGGGUGCUGAAGUACAGUGCCGCAUUUAGUACUAGUUAAGACAGUUCAAGUUGAUACAGCUUAUUUUCUAGGAAAACCCUUCUUUUGUCUAUGCAAGAACAGUAAGUGGUUAUUUUUUUAUUUUUUAAAAAAAAUUUAUGUAUUUUUAAAGAUACAUAGAUUACACAAAAUAUUAUUUUUUACAGAAGUCUGUACUUUAUGCAGUUACUCACAGUUACUAUGCUAUCAUAACUGAAAUUUCAGUUGUGCUGUUGGGAGACUGAUAUUUAAUUGAUGCCUUCUCUGAUGUGGGAGUCCACUCUAGCAGGCUCCUUCAAGCAUUCUGUCAACCCUGGAUGUUGACUUGCCACCUGUUAGCUAUAACUUGGAUAUUUAAAUUUCUUAGUGCUUUGAGACU